AUCAUUUUAGAGCUGUGUUUAUGCAGUAGCUGAAUAUGGUUAUCAGUCGUUACUUAGCCUAAGUCGUUAUAAAGCUGCUCGACUGACGCAAAACCGAAAGCAGUGGAAAGCACACAGUACUGCCUGAAAUAACUCAUUAUUCCCUAAACAGUGUAUAUGUGUCACUCACUAAGUAGUUCUUAAUAAACGAGUGAAUGAAUGAUUUCGGAAUUGGCUUUAGACGGAAGCAGGUGGUAUUUUCAAUGUAAUCAGGAGGGGACGUUCUUGUUCCAGAAAGCAUUUGAUUGGACGCCACUUCACGAUUUUGCUUGUCAUCUGUUGAGCCGGAAAAACCCAAGUAGGAUGGAAAUUGAGGAGGUAGAUGAAGAGAUAUCAGUCAACCCCUACGAGACAGCCUUUGAUCCCUAUUCCUCCGCCCCAUCCCAAGAUCCAGAAGGUAGAGGAAAUCUCAAGAAGAUUCAUCUCAAGGAAAUCUCAGAUUCGGCCUGCCUUUUUCUGUCCAGGCAUGAAGAUGCAUCUCUCUGGUGGCUGUCCUGAUGAAGCUUGUGUGUGUGAGAAGCUUUGGUUGAGCGUAAUGUCCAGAGCAGCUUAAAAAUACACAAAAGUCUUUUUCUAUCAAUGUUCCAGUUUUCUGACUGGAUUCACCAUCCCAGCCUAGGAGAGCAUUCUGUUCAAGACUUGCUAAAGAAACAGCCUUUGACCUCUGACCUGUGCUUAAAGGUGGACAGAGAUUAAGAGGUUUGCAUGCUCAGUCAGUAGAGCUUGAGGAAUAUUUUUUGUUUAGAGUUACAGCAUUUGAGCUCUUAAAAUCAAACUCUCACACGGACUGAAAAGCCUCCAGAGUUCUUGAGUCUAAAAGUGGCUGUAACUCGUCACUAUGUAGUGAAACUUCACACCAGAGUCGAAACAUCUGCGAUACCUCACUGUUGUUUCAGGGCGACUGCAUAAGAUGGUUAUGAAAUAGUCUGAUACUUUAAAAUGGACGCUUGGUGCCUUUAAAUAAUUCAGGAAUGUGAAUCAGUGCCGCUCGACAGAAUUUGAUUAUUUUUAUCUGAAAUGUUUGUUUCAGUUCAUGUGUAGCAGUCAAACAAAUUGUUUUUCUAACAUGAGUUAAAAUGUAAAUGUUGGAUUUUUUUCUGAGUGCACAAAUAAAAAGCUUAUUUCCUUAAUGAAUUGUUCGUUUCAUUCAGAAAUAUGUUACAAUAUUACACCAGAUGUAUGUUUCACAAAUUAAGUUUGAGAGGGUUUGUAUAUUUUGUGCUUCAUUGUUUACUGAAAGAUGUUCAUUAUAUGCUGCAUAUUUAACACUAUUUUAUCUCUGACGACUGAUAAAUGUCACCAUGUCCUAAACUGUGCUUUCAAUAAAAGUAACAUGAUCAUAAAUGGUGUCUGAAAGAAAUAGACAUUUCAGCUGUUUUCAUAUCCAUAUGAUCUCCUGAUCAGUAACAGAUGUCAAUGAUAUGAACGUCAAAUAUAUAAUGUGAAUGUUAAUAAAGUCUCUGAACUCAUGGGAUCUUCUAA
ensembl:lncRNA